GUCUGAGUUUAGUUUAAGACCAAGGCAUAUUUGUGAACCUGUUGGUGUCAAUGCCUGUCCUCCAUACCAAAUACAUUCUUUCUUGAGAGUUUGGUAUGACUGUUUUAUUUAUGGACAGGAGGUUGUUCGGAUCGAAGCUUCCCUCGUGAGACAGUAAAACUGACCCUUUGAUCGUGAAUCCUUGUCUUAUCAAGUUGGGCGAGGACUGAUUGUAUCAGAUCUGGUAAUGUUUGUGCCUGACCAAAGCCUGUACUGGUUGCAGGUUUUGGUUUUGCUUUAGGGUUGUCUGAUUGUCUCUUGGUCUUAUUAGGAGUACUCAUGAAGUUCCGCUUUGGGGAAGUGGUUUAAUGAAAACAGGGGAAAAUUUGGUUGUGUAUUACUAUUUGGUAGGGUUUUAGAGCAAUCAGUUUUCCAGAAC
rnacentral:lncRNA from 1 species